rnacentral:rRNA from 1 species
UGGGGAAUUGUUCGCAAUGGGCGCAAGCCUGACGACGCAACGCCGCGUGGAGGAUGAAGACCUUCGGGUCGUAAACUCCUUUCGAUCGAGACGAAUGGCCUCCGGGUUAACAGCCUGGAGGAGUGACGGUACCGAGAGAAGAAGCCCCGGCUAACUCCGUGCCAGCAGCCGCGGUAAUACGGGGGGGGCAAGCGUUGUUCGGAAUUACUGGGCGUAAAGGGCUCGUAGGUGGCCAACUAAGUCAGACGUGAAAUCCCUCGGCUUAACCGGGGAACUGCGUCUGAUACUGGAUGGCUUGAGUUCGGGAGAGGGAUGCGGAAUUCCAGGUGUAGCGGUGAAAUGCGUAGAUAUCUGGAGGAACACCGGUGGCGAAGGCGGCAUCCUGGACCGACACUGACGCUGAGGAGCGAAAGCCAGGGGAGCAAACGGGAUUAGAUACCCCCGUAGUCC